AUACGUAGGGUGCAAGCGUUAAUCGGAAUUACUGGGCGUAAAGCGUGCGCAGGCGGUUUUGUAAGACAGUGGUGAAAUCCCCGGGCUCAACCUGGGAACUGCCAUUGUGACUGCAAGGCUGGAGUGCGGCAGAGGGGGAUGGAAUUCCGCGUGUAGCAGUGAAAUGCGUAGAUAUGCGGAGGAACACCGAUGGCGAAGGCAAUCCCCUGGGCCUGCACUGACGCUCAUGCACGAAAGCGUGGGGAGCAAACAGGAUUAGAUUCCCUGGUAGUCCACGCCCUAAACGAUGUCAACUGGUUGUUGGGGAUUUAUUUUCUCAGUAACGAAGCUAACGCGUGAAGUUGACCGCCUGGGGAGUACGACCGCAAGGUUAAAACUCAAAUGAAUUGACGGGG
rnacentral:rRNA from 1 species